rnacentral:tRNA from 1 species
GUAGCCGAGCGGGCCGGCUGUUAAGUUGCCCCUCCUAAGGGGAAGGUUGGCAGUUCGAACCUGCCCUGGGACACCA